AUUGAACGCUGGCGGCAUGCCUUACACAUGCAAGUCGAACGGCAGCGCGGGGCAACCUGGCGGCGAGUGGCGAACGGGUGAGUAAUAUAUCGGAACGUACCCUGGAGUGGGGGAUAACGUAGCGAAGUUACGCUAAUACCGCAUACGAUCUAAGGAUGAAAGCAGGGGACCGCAAGGCCUUGUGCUCCUGGAGCGGCCGAUAUCUGGAUUAGCUAGUUGGUGGGGUAAAGGCCACCAAGGCAUCGAUCAGUAGCUGGUCUGAGAGGACGGACCAGCCACACUGGAACUGAGACACGGUCCAGACUCCUACGGGAGGCAGCAGUGGGGAAUUUUGGACAAUGGGCGAAAGCCUGAUCCAGCAAUGCCGCGUGAGUGAAGAA
rnacentral:rRNA from 1 species